CUCUUCAGGAUGUGUCCAACAAUGAUUUAUGCGGAACAAUUCCUAUGGCAGGGCCAUUUGAGCAUAUUCCAUUGAAUAACUUUGAGAAUAACCCUCGGUUGGAAGGUCCGGAGUUGUUGGGACUUGCAAGUUAUGAAACAAAUUGCUCGUGAAUAACACAAAGCCUUGGGAUCUGAAUCUAAACUGAACUAUACGUGUAUUAGAAAAUUAAAUUGUGUUAUCUUGUACUGUAAUAGGCAGCUGAAAAAGUAGCUCCUGUUGUAUGUAACUUUAAUAAUUGAAAUGGCUUGUCUUGUGUAACUGUGUCAUGAUGUUCUACCUAUGUUUUGAGACAUUAAUUGCAACAUAGGUGCUUAUUGCUGAUUUUAUGAUGGGUAUGAUGUUAUCAUAGAGGAAUUGUCAAGUUGAUGGACUGAUCUAAUCAUUGUAAUAUCAAUAUAUAUAUAUAUAU